rnacentral:rRNA from 1 species
ACGGGGGUUGCAAGCGUUGUCCGGAAUUACUAGGCGUAAAGGGCAGGUAGGCGGAUCCAUAAGUUUUUUGUUAAAGGCAACGGCUUACCCGUUGUAAGGCAGGAGAUACUGUGGAUCUGGAAUGCGGUUGGGGAAGACAGAAUUCCUGGUGUAGCGGUGAAAUGCGCUAAUAUUAGGAGGAAUACCGAUGGCGAAGGCAGUCAUCUGAAACAUCAUUGACGGUAAACUGCGAAAGUGUGGGUAGCAAACAG